UACAGAGGGUGCGAGCGUUGUCCGGAAUCACUGGGCGUAAAGGGCGCGUAGGUGGUGGCUUAAGCGUGCGGUGAAAGCCCGGGGCUCAACUCCGGAAUUGCCUUUAAGACUGCAUCGCUAGAAUUGUGGAGAGGUAAGUGGAAUUCCGAGUGUAGAGGUGAAAUUCGUAGAUAUUCGGAAGAACACCAGUGGCGAAGGCGACUUACUGGACACAUAUUGACGCUGAGGUGCGAAAGCGUGGGGGAGCAAACAGG
rnacentral:rRNA from 1 species